AGGCCGGGAGGGGCGGGCGGGGGCUGCGGUCUGGGGUGGGCAGGCGGGCCCCGAGGGGAGCUGCGGGCCGGGAGGGGCGGCGCGCGCUGCCCCCUGGAGGCCCGCCUGGCGCGGUGCGCGCACCGCGCACGGACGCUGGUGCGGCGGCGGCGCUGCCGCUGGUGAGGCGGCGGCGCUGCGUCCUCCAAGUCCACCUGGGGAACCGAGGGCUCAGGGUGCCGGGCGCCUGGACGUGGAGGAGGCCACCGGGGGCGGUGGGCGUGGAGUCUGUGGUCCCCUUCUCACCACCCGCACCCUGUCCUUAGCACGAUGGCCAGCCCUACUGCCACAAGCCCUGCUACGGAAUACUCUUCGGACCCAAGGGAGUGAACACGGGAGCCGUGGGCAGCUACAUCUAUGACAAGGACCCUGAAGGCAAAGCUCAGCCCUAGGCCCCCGGGCCGCUCUGUGCGGGUCCCUGACCCCAGGCCCACUGCUUGGCUGCGCGGGGAGAGUGCCCGCUGCCCAGGCCGCCUCUGCACCUGCAAGUCCAGGGCCAGAGAGCUGGGGGAGGGCCCUAACCCAGGACCCUGCCCCGUCCCUGUCUCCGGGUGUAUCUGCCUGUGUGUCCCCGACGGCCCGCUGCCCCCUUUCGUCCUGGCCCCACGUGUCCCCACGUCGGGGUCUCGUGGCCCCACAUGCCCCUGGUGUCUCUGUGGCCUGGGUGACCUUUCUGAGGUGGAGCCGCCCCCAUCCCGCCCACAGUGUUAUUUAUGCCCCACUUGCCAGUGACAGCCACAGCCACGCCCCUCACCGUGUUCCUCCCGCCUGCCGCGCCAGCGCCCGCCCACCGCCCUCACGUGGCUCACACUCUGAGUGCUGGGACUUUUGCUACCAAUAAAAGGUCUGAAGGUCAAGGGCGCACGUGUCUGCAACUCUGGGGCGGACUCGCAGCCGAGGGCCCAUCGCUCAGUGCAAGUGCCCCCAGCAUGUCUGGGCCCGGUUUCAGGCCCGUCCGGGCGUCCAGCGUGGGCAGCAGUGUCUCCUUGGAUUUGGCCGGCGCCGGGAACGCAGCCAGGAUGUGCAAGGCGGGUUGGCCUGCCCCGGGGGGUGGGAGGCCCUGGUGCAGGUACCCCAGGGGCGCCCCACUUUCACCCCGGGCAGAGGUAAGGGGUGCACUCAAGAGGAGCGGCUGGGACGACUCUUCCCAUUCCCGCCUCCCUCCUGCUAAGCCGAAGCUCCCUGGUUGGGGGGGUCGUUGGGGGCACCCCCAGGCCCGCCCUUGCCGAGGGCUCCUCUUGCCGGAUGGAAACUUCCUGCCGUCCAGCCAGUGGGGGCUGCUGAGAGCACAGCUGGGCCCCUCUUCCUCUGUGAAGCUCCAGUGGAAACUACGCGAGGGAAACGCGAUCUUCUGGGAGCCCGUCCCCCAGACCCGGGAGGAGGGGCGCCUAUUGUGUGACUGCCGCCUUGCGGGCAGGGUGAGGGGCACCGGGUCCCCCAGAGGGCGGAUCGGCCGCAACCUGCUUGGCGCUAGUGCCUCCCACUCGCGGGGUCUGGCCGGGGAGGCCGCGUUCCGUUUCCUGCUCGCGGGAGAGUGCUGAGCCUCCUUGUUUGUUUCCCUGGGGUUGUCAUGGAAACCGGGGCGGGGCAGCUCCCGCCGGGCUCCUCGCGGUCGCCGGGUGCCGCCAGUGGGGGCCGCGGGGGCCCCGCGCUGCCGGGGCUCCCUAGGGGACCCCAGCUCCAGGGAGCCAGGUGUUUCCUCGGGCACCCCGCCGGCCAGCGAGGCGGCCCUGAAAUGCCAUCUAAGCUCCUCUCUCUGCUCCAGAACCCCAGGGCUGGGCAGGGCACCCCGGCCUCCUCUGACACCCUGCUCCCCAGCCUCACCCCCUCCCACCAGUCCAGUCUUCCCCACUUCCUCCACAGGGCCCUCUGAGCCCCCAUGCAUCCCAUCAGGCCCUGGCUGGUGUUCUUUCCCCUGCCCCCCACGCCAGGCAUCUCUUCAGCUUCCUCUGUCCCCACUUCCUGAGUCCCGGAAUCCCCUGACCCCUGCCCUAGAUUCCCCAGCCCCUCUCCCUCCCAGCCCCACCAGCUUCCCCUGGGCCAGUGACCCCCCAGUGCCAGCCCUGGGCUGCCCCUCUGCUGUGAAGGCUCCCUGGGGAUCCCGCCCUGCUCAGCUAGCCUCCCUGAGCCCCUCCAGGCCUGGAGGGGGCAUGACCUUUCUCCAGCACCAACGCACUGGUAGUGGUUCCAGGAGCUGAGGGUCAAGAAGUCACCGAGUGCCUGUGAGCCUGGCCCUGGGCCGCUGGGGGCGGGGCCAGGGAGGACAGCCGGGAGAGGCGGCCAGGUGCGGGCUGCACACUUUCUCAGGGCCCAGUGGCUGCAGGGGUGGGUCUGGGGUGGUGAACAUGCCCAGCUGCCGGACUGGCGAGGCUGGAAUCUGAGGCCGUUCUGCAUGGCCUUUGGCUCUAGGAUACAGAGAUUCCUGGCACCAGGCUCAUCCUGGGGGGCGGGGGUGGGUAGGGAGGGCAGGGGCACUUCAACAAGCCGAGCUGCAGGCCCUGGCAGGGCUGGCUGAGGGGGCUCACGGGCUCAGGUGCCCCA
rnacentral:lncRNA from 1 species